UACGUAGGUGAAAAUAUGUAAUCACACGCAACUGUUCCAAACCAGUGAGGUAGCAGCCAUUAUCAAGUUAGCAAGCUAAGCUACUAGCAAAAAAGCAAAGCUAUAUUCAAGACACUCGUGGAUGGAGUCAAGACGGCUUAUUCUCCCUCUUCAAAAAAUAUGGUGAUGGAUCCUGAGCUGUCAAGGCUCAGGGAAGAGCUCCUAACCAUUGAGAGCCUGAUCAGCAAACUACUUAGCUGGCAAGCUCAACUGCACUCCCGCCUGGUCGAGCUGAAGCCUGCUGGCAUGGAAAACAAGUUGCCUGAUGAUGACAGCGUAAAAUGGUUUGGUCCCCCCCAGUAGAAAGUCUCCAUUUGGGUCAUCUUGGGCAUCAGUGGUGAAAGGAAAUAAGAGACUGUCACUCCCUCUUUUAUAAUCCCCAGAGGUUGACAGAGUUCUCCCGCUGUCAAACUUCCACUCCACUAUGUGAUCUACCAGAUGACGACAGUUCAUCAUCCCUCGUGCCUGCUAUUCAAAUGUCUCCUCGGAGAAGGAAGUGCCUGGCUAUCCCUGUGAGGAAUGCACUGUCACGUCCUUCCAAGCCCAGACGUCCAAGGAUAUCAUUACCGCCCCGCAGGCCCGAGUCCGGAGGCCUCCGCCUUCCCUCGUUGACUAGAUGGAAUGGAAUCCAUCCAUCUAUGCUAACCCGCCCAGUCACCUCCCCAAGUGACCCGGCAGUCUGGUCUGGCUUUGGCUGACAGUGUGCCCCCUCCUGUGCCUGUUAUCAACUUCAGGGACCCCCUCUCAAAUAUUGUCUGAGAUCCGGAUUUCUCCUGGUGGGAGACUCAAUUGUUUGCUUUGUGGAACUCCCCAGGGGCUUAAAAUACUGUUUCUCUGGUGUGAAAAUCUUGGAUAUAGCCCAGUACAUCCCUUCAAUUAUAGAGCUCCACCCAUCCGCGCAUAUAGUCUUCAUCCACAUGAGCACAAAUGAUGUCAGGUAUAACCAAUCAAUCAAACUCCAACAUGAUAUCGAACUUCUUGCCAUAACUGUUGAAAGUCUGGGUAAACAAUGUGUAAUAUCUGGGCCCAUUCCAACUCAGCUUUUUAGUUUUAAUCAGUGGCUUCAAGUGCUGUGCUCUGCCACCAGUUUCAGCUUUAUUGAUCACUUUGAUGUAUUUUGGAAUAGAGAGACUUAUAUAAAAGAGAUAGUCUACACCCUAACAAAAAGGGCACAAAUUUGCUCACAGCAAAUUUUGUUUCUUUUAUAAACAAAACUUUGCCAUGCUGACUAUCCAGCACAACCCCACUUCUACAGUGUUCAGAUGGUUCUCAAAUGAAAAUUUGAGAAUGGUCUAAUGACCAUUUGUGGUAUGAGACAAACCACUGUGCAAAAGGACAGCAACAAUUGGUUUGUAGACCACCUAGAUAUGAUUACAGUUUUAUCAGUGAAUUUGCUGAAUUGCUGUCCCUAACUCUGCCUACAUUCAACAAGUUUCUGAUCCUUGGGGACUUUAAUAUUCAUGUCUGCUGCCCUGACAAAACCUUGGGCCUGGAGUUCUUAAUCCUUAUAGAGUCUCUUAACUUAUCACAUGCUCUGACUGGACCUACUCACUCAAAAGGCCACACUCUUGAUCAAGUCUUAUCCUAUGGUAUAAAGAUUCCAGAUAUUGAAUCCGUAGAUGCCUAUAACUCUGACCACCAAUGCCUUAUGUUUAACAAGGUGUUGCCUUGCGUUAUGUCAUUGAUUCUCCCCUGGGCCAGAUAUAAGAUGCCACCCCUGAGAAAUGCGACAAAUUUCCUUCUUUACUCAGAAGAUAUCAAUUAUAUGAUAUAUAUAUAUAUAUAUAUAGUAAAGAAAACGAAACCCUCAA